rnacentral:ncRNA from 16 species
UGCUUAUCUAGAGUGGUGGAGGGAAAGGCCCUGCGAAGCCACAGCAACCGGCCCAGAAAUGGGCGACAGGUGCUAAAUCCUGCCGAAAGGCGAAGAUGAGAA